GUGCUGCUUCAGAAGUAUGUAUUCUAAGAUUGGAACAGUACAGAGAUUAGCAUGGCCCCUGUGCAAGAAUGACAUGCAAAUUUGUGAAGCACUCCAUAUUUUU
ensembl:snRNA U6 U6 spliceosomal RNA